GUGUCAGUGUAGAGGUAGAUAGGCGGGUUCAUUAUCACAGCAGGUGGAAGUCACAGAUUCCACCACAUACUGGACUGAGAAAGGAGCAAAUGGAGUUUUCCUGGACCCUGUGAACAGUUGUUUUCCCCUGCCUGCCCACUCUCUUCUGCUGAAUUGAUGAUACCUGUUACAGCCUCCAACCUGAAACCCACCCAUGCACAUCUUUCCUGUGGCAACAUCCGAUUAACAAAAAGUGUUGCCACAACAACCACUGGACAUGAAAUGGACUUCAAAU